rnacentral:rRNA from 1 species
UGCAAGUCGAGCGGUAGAGAGAAGCUUGCUUCUCUUGAGAGCGGCGGACGGGUGAGUAAUGCCUAGGAAUCUGCCUGGUAGUGGGGGAUAACGUUCGGAAACGAACGCUAAUACCGCAUACGUCCUACGGGAGAAAGCAGGGGACCUUCGGGCCUUGCGCUAUCAGAUGAGCCUAGGUCGGAUUAGCUAGUUGGUGAGGUAAUGGCUCACCAAGGCGACGAUCCGUAACUGGUCUGAGAGGAUGAUCAGUCACACUGGAACUGAGACACGGUCCAGACUCCUACGGGAGGCAGCAGUGGGGAAUAUUGGACAAUGGGCGAAAGCCUGAUCCAGCCAUGCCGCGUGUGUGAAGAAGGUCUUCGGAUUGUAAAGCACUUUAAGUUGGGAGGAAGGGCAGUUACCUAAUACGUGAUUGUUUUGACGUUGCCGACAGAAUAAGCACCGGCUAACUCUGUGCCGGCAGCCGCGGUGAUACAAGAGGGUGCGAGCGUUUAAUUCGAAUUUACU